rnacentral:rRNA from 1 species
GCGGUGGAGCAUGUGGUUUAAUUCGAAGCAACGCGGCCAGAACCUUACCAGCCCUUGACAUCCCGGUCGCGGUUUCCAGAGAUGGAUUCCUUCAGUUCGGCUGGACCGGUGACAGGUGCUGCAUGGCUGUCGUCAGCUCGUGUCGUGAGAUGUUGGGUUAAGUCCCGCAACGAGCGCAACCCUCGCCCUUAGUUGCCAUCAUUCAGUUGGGCACUCUAAGGGGACUGCCGGUGAUAAGCCGAGAGGAAGGUGGGGAUGACGUCAAGUCCUCAUGGCCCUUACGGGCUGGGCUACACACGUGCUACAAUGGUGGUGACAGUGGGCAGCGAGACCGCGAGGUCGAGCUAAUCUCCAAAAGCCAUCUCAGUUCGGAUUGCACUCUGCAACUCAGUGCAUGAAGUUGGAAUCGCUAGUAAUCGCGGAUCAGCAUGCCGCGGUGAAUACGUUCUCGGGCCUU